rnacentral:rRNA from 1 species
CACCGCGGUUAUACGAGAGGCCUAAGUUGAUAAGCAUCGGCGUAAAGAGUGGUUAGGGGAAAACAUAAACUAAAGCCGAACGCCCUCAAGGCUGUGAUACGUCUACGAGGGUAAGAAGCUCUUCCACGAAAGUGGCUUUAACCGACCUGACCCCACGAGAGCUGAGGUA